rnacentral:rRNA from 1 species
UACGGAGGGUGCGAGCGUUAAUCGGAAUCACUGGGCGUAAAGCGCACGUAGGCGGCGCAUCAAGUCAGGCGUGAAAGCCCUCGGCUCAACCGGGGAAUUGCGUUUGAAACUGUUGCGCUGGAGUCUCGGAGAGGUUGGCGGAAUUCCAGGUGUAGGAGUGAAAUCCGUAGAUAUCUGGAGGAACACCGGUGGCGAAGGCGGCCAACUGGACGAGUACUGACGCUGAGGUGCGAAAGCGUGGGGAG